rnacentral:lncRNA from 1 species
UCUUGUUACUAUUCAUCAAGGUUAAGCCAAAACCAUAAGCUUCACUUGCAAGUAAUUACUAAUAUCUAGUUUCAUACUCGAUCAGAAAAUCGAUUACAACUCGAUACCCCUAAAAUUACUUAUUUACACUUAGGGACACCUCCUCUCUCUACAAAUUUGACUAUUAUAUCUACGUUGUUCUUAUCCAUAAACCCUGUGUUUUGCCCUAAGCAAAAUCUGAGCAGCUGGAGAGAGCCACUAAGCAACGAGCAGCUUGUACUUCUUCCUCCGUCAGCUUCCGUACCUUCCUCUUACCAUACUUCUGUUUCUUCACCACCAUCGCCGGCGUCGGCGGCGCCCGCAGCGGAGAUCGCCGGAACAUCACUCCUCCCUUGGGGCUCGAAUACACCACCCUCACUUUCAACGGCCCCGUCGGCGAUGAACUGGACUCGUCGCUGGUGGUCACACCGCCGGCAGCGGCGGAGGAAGAGCCGAUAUGCUUUUUCUCCGGUCUCAUCUUCUUCGCGAAUCUGAUCCCGCAAGUGUUGCAUAGCGACUGAGCAAAAAUCAGGGGAAGUUUGGUUUCAGAAAACCCCCAAAUCCAGUAGAUAAAAAACCCUAAAUCUGAAAUUGACCCAUGUUUAGAACCGAAAUUGACCCAGAUCGAGAAAAAAUUUCCGAUUGAGAACUUGGAUUAAGCAUGGAAAUGUCGAAAAUAAAAACCCAGAUGGAGAAAUUUCUCCUACGAAUCAAUCAAAACGAACAGAAUAGAACAGAGGAUGACUAACAAAAACCACACGGAGAAAUUUCUCAGCUGAUUAGCCAGCUAAAUAGAACAAAAUCCAUGGACGAGUGAAGUUCAGUUCAGUGAAGGAGCAGAAACGCAAACAGACAUUGGGGCCGGCGGGCCCGAAUCUCCACAAGGGCGUAGUCGUAGCUUUGCAAUCUCUGCAGGAUUUCUGCAUCUCCCUUCUUCUUCUUGUGUUCGUCGUCACUGAAAACCAUCUGGAAGUAAAAACAAAACCCAUGAAAAGGAAGAAUUAAUGUCUGGUCUGAAAGAAACAACCAGCGACAGAGAAAACAACAGAGGAGGAAGAAUUAGGAAACAGGACAUGUUUUCUAAAGGGAAAGAAAACCUCGGUGGAAUUGUGUAGUACCUUCAUGGUUUCUAGCUGCCGACUACGAUUGAUCUUCUGAUGAUGGCGCCGACGAAGGAGGUGAAAGGCUGCUCUGCUCUCUGCUCUGCCACUCUCUGUCAACCAGUGAACACACUCUCUGUUUCUGCUCUGUGGGAAAUUAGGCAAUUGGGGGAGAA